GGAAAUUGACACUGUCGAAAAUAUGAGGAAACACAUUAUUAAUGCAAUUCGUUGAUAAAUAACAAACAUGAAAGAGAUAUCAUCAAAUUUUAUAGUAUUUGAUUGAACAUGCAUGUUGGUAUUGAUAUUGAGUAAUAUGUAGCAUCCAAUCUAAGAGAAUCUUAUAGGGAAGAGGCAGAAGAUGGUAAACGACAAGCAACAGGUGAUUGUAGACUUCUGGACAGAGAUAUGAGUCUGUACGAAUUGCAUCUAAUAGUUGUUAUAGUUAACGUCUUAAUAGCUGGUAUGUAAACAGUUAUAAUUCCCGGAUAGCGGUUUGUAGCAGCCAACACCAAAAACUGAGAUGUCCUCCGUUUGGAAUCUUUUAUAUACAUAUUAACUAAAUAAUAUGAAGCUACUUAAACAAAACAUAUAAGCAAAUACUCAAAAUAGCAACAAAAAUAAACAAUAAGAAAAUACCGUUUUAAAAGCCAAAAACAAACAAGUUUUAAGAAUCUAAAGGCGUAAAGUAACUAGAAAUCAAAUCAACAUUCAUUCCCCUAUAUAGGAAGGAAAUACCUAAAACAUGCUAUCAUUAUCAUAAUAUUCUGAAGCAUUUAGCAACCAUCACCAACCAUAAUUUUGGCUGCUAAAGCGGGCACGACAGCUGCUACAUACAACCUCUGCUACAGGCUUCAAAUAACAGUACUUAAUGCAAUAACAUGUAGUUUAGUCUUUCUUCCUCUUCCCCUAUACCUCACACUUGCUUUUACCAGUAACCCCUAAAUGCAAAUAACAUGUAGUUUAGUCUUUCUUCCUCUUCCCCUACUCCUCACACUUGCUUCUUCCUCUUCCCCUACUCCUCACACUUGCUUUUACCAGUAACCCUUGUUAUCGCCUUUUAUUGGUUACAGGAAAUCUCAGAAUUUGGGUUGGGCCUAACUCAACCCUACAAAACCGGCUUGUCCCCACAUAUAAAAACAACACAUGCCAUAUCUCUAAGCAAUGUGAGACUAAAUUCACCCCUUCAAAGCCAACACAAUGAAGGUGUUAGGGGCUGCAAUGAGGCAAGCCAAAAUGCCGCAAUUAAGGCAACAAGGGGCGGACCGCAAUUAAGGCGGAAAGUCCAACAGGAAAAUUUCAUUUGGUUCCCUUAUAAAACUAAAUCAAUCAAAAACAUCAUACGAGUGACUCAAGUUCAACGCGUUUGUUUAACUUAUGCUUAAACCGCAGAAGGCACCAUUCAUUCACAGGGAGAGAAACAAAAGCACGGUUAUCAAUCUCGGAUAAUAAAAUAUAGCGGUCAAUCACAAAACCACUAUAACAACAUAUAGCAUACCAGGAUUACCACUAUUCUUAUUUAUAGAAUUGGAAUGAAGUAAAGGAUUUCCAAAAGUAGUUUGACGGAAACAUGUAUCUUACAACUCAACCCAUCAAGGAAUUACACCAUGAGUGGUUUUUAUUAUUUUCUAUUGCUCACAUAUCAUGAGAGCUAAUCUAUAUAAAGUUUGAGAAGAGCUUUAUUUACCAGGAAAAUUGAAAAACUUACACUGCAAAUUUUAGGGAUGGUUCCUUCCUGUAAUCAAACGAAGCAAUUGACACAACAAUUUUGGCUACCGUCUACUCAUGCUUCACUGAGUUACAACAUUCUGUUUUCCUUGUGUGAACAGCAUUCUGAAGGGAAAAUGCCACAGUCAGAAAUUUGAGGAUACACCAUUAUAAUGCAAUUAGUUGAUAAAUAAUAAACAUGUAAGAGAAAUAAUCAUCAAAUUUUAUAGUAUUUGGUUGAACAUGUCUAUUGAAUGUUGGUAUUGUAGAAAUCGCAUCUAAUAAAUUUUGUAAGAAAGCGUUAUGCAAAAGUUGAUGUUUUAAGCAACAUUGAUGAAUGGUGAGCAGUAAGUGUAGUUAUAAACCCCAGACAGCGAUGCGUAAUGGCCAGCACCGAAAACCAGGAUGACAGCUGUUCUGAAUUAUUUUAUACAUAUUCAAUAGUCAAUACUAUAAAUUCAUGAAAUGUUAUUAAAUAAAACAAAGUUACUAAAACAAAACAUACAAAUGAUUACCAAAAAUUGCAACAACAAAAAAUCAUAUAUACCCAAGAAAUGCCAAAACAAACAUCUAAAGGCUUAAAGUAACUAAAUAUAAAAUCAAGAUUCAUUCCCCUAUAUAAGAAUAGAAUACCUAAAACAUCCUGAUACAAUAAAAAUUUCUUAAGCAUUUAGCAAGCACUACCAACCGUAAUUUUGGCCGCUAAAGCAAGCAGCACAAUAGGUGCUACAGAAAACUGCUAUGCUACAGACUUCAAAUAACAGCGAGUCGCUAUUAUGUGAUUUGUCACCAUACCAGGUUGUUGACUACUUAGCUGGUAAGUUCACGAGAGUAAUAUAGAAUCGUAGAAUUUAGUUUAAUCAUUUUAAAUACUUAUAUAACAGCGGUCAUCCCGCUAUGCCCCUAUAGCAUUUUGGGGGUUUGGCACUAAAGCCGCUAUUUGAGAUUAACAACCUAGAUUAAAAUAUAAAUUUUAAAAAUAAAACAAUAAAACACUUCGCGGCAAAAACAGGCUAUUGAAAGCUCACCUACUUAUCAAAAUCCAGGUUUGCUUAAACCUCAUCUGGAUGUGCAUUUCUUUGAAUUGAAUUUGACAUAGGCCAUCAAUUUAAAAAGAAAAUCUUACACCCUUACAUUUCUUAUCAAAUGCUAGUCCAGAAUUCCAACAUAAAGACCUUCCUAUCUCAUUUCAAUCUUGUGAAUCAAACAUUAAUAUUAGUCUCUAAGCCUUAACUUGUACAAAAACAGCCAAACACACUCAUAAGAAACAGUGUACUCUCCCUCAGGGCUUAAACUGAAGAACUCUACAUUAACAACCCUCUCAAUUUCAUGAAACUAACUCCCAUAAACUAGAAUAGCAUCCACACACCAAAAGCACAUAGCAUAUAUUGUAGCAUGCAAAAAAAAAACACCAACCCCCAUUGAGAAAAGAUGCAAUCUUUAAUCAUAUUGAACAAAAGGGUUUUUCAAAUGAACAUUCUUGAAAAUUGUUAUAGAAGAGAAGCAAUUGGGUCACAGUGGGGAGAGAGAGGGAGAAGCAAUAGAAAAUGGUGAGAAGAGAUCUCUGCAUGGCCUAGCUUGUGUUUUUGAAUUAAUAAACAGAAAGAAAAUUUAUGUGAGAGAGAGAGACGUGCUUAC
rnacentral:lncRNA from 1 species